rnacentral:rRNA from 1 species
CCUACGGGAGGCAGCAGUGAGGAAUAUUGGUCAAUGGGCGCGAGCCUGAACCAGCCAAGUAGCGUGAAGGAUGACUGCCCUAUGGGUUGUAAACUUCUUUUAUAAAGGAAUAAAGUGAGGCACGUGUGCCUUUUUGCAUGUACCUUAUGAAUAAGGAUCGGCUAACUCCGUGCCAGCAGCCGCGGUAAUACGGAGGAUCCGAGCGUUAUCCGGAUUUAUUGGGUUUAAAGGGUGCGUAGGUGGGUUGUUAAGUCAGCUGUGAAAGUUUGCGGCUCAACCGUAAAAUUGCAGUUGAUACUGGCAGUCUGGAGUGCAGUUGAGGUAGGCGGAAUGCGUGGUGUAGCGGUGAAAUGCAUAGAUAUCACGAAGAACUCCGAUUGCGAAGGCAGCUUACUAAGCUGCCACUGACAUUGAUGCUCGAAAGUGUGGGUAUCAAACAGGAUUAGAUACCCUUGUAGUC